rnacentral:rRNA from 1 species
AUCACUCCCAAACCCAAUGUGAACCAUACCAAACUGUUGCCUCGGCGGGGUCACGCCCCGGGUGCGUCGCAGCCCCGGAACCAGGCGCCCGCCGGAGGGACCAACCAAACUCUUUCUGUAGUCCCCUCGCGGACGUUAUUUCUUACAGCUCUGAGCAAAAAUUCAAAAUGAAUCAAAACUUUCAACAACGGAUCUCUUGGUACUGGCAUCGAUGAAGAACGCAGCGAAAUGCGAUAAGUAAUGUGAAUUGCAGAAUUCAGUGAAUGAUCGAAUCUUUGAACGCACAUUGCGCCCGCCAGUAUUCUGGCGGGCAUGCCUGUCCGAGCGUCAUUUCAACCCUCGAACCCCUCCGGGGGGUCGGCGUUGGGGACUUCGGGAACCCCUAAGACGGGAUCCCGGCCCCGAAAUACAGUGGCGGUCUCGCCGCAGCCUCUCCUGCGCAGUAGUUUGCACAACUCGCACCGGGAGCGCGGCGCGUCCACGUCCGUAAAACACCCAACUUCUGAAAUGUUGACCUCGGAUCAGGUAGGAAUACCCGCUGAACUUAAGCAUAUCAAUAAGCCGGAG